ensembl:lncRNA
GUCAAAACUACACUUGGCAAAAUCAGCACUGAGCCACUAUUUGACAUGAAUGAAGAUGAUUUUGAUGAAAUAAUUAUUUCACCCCAUACUUCCUUAUUCAAAAUUUAUCAUGUGAAACUUUGAAGUGAAGCUCCUUCCUUCCUUCCUCUCUUCCCUUCUUUCCCCUCCUUUCCCUUCCUUUCCUCUUUUCAAUGAGAAGAAGGAAAAAUCACUCUUGAGGAAAAUCUAAAAAAGAAAAGCCCACUUUGGAUUAAGGUGGACAGUUUCUUCUUUACAUAUCAUUGGGCAGAGUCUUAGCACUGGAGUGUCCAUAAUGUUUGUUAAAGUUGUCAUCAGUAUUGCCUUUUGUUAGUUAAGAGCAAAUGAUUCCUGUGGAAAAGAGAAAAGCAUAGAAGAUCCUGCAAGACUGGGUACAACCAGACAUGGUUUCUUCAGCCCAGGAUGAAGGAAAUUGAAGAAGGAAAUGGUCAAAGCAAGUCCCUGAACCAAGCACUGGAACAUAUUGGCUGUGGAGGUAGCCAACACUGGGUAGAAGCUAGUUAAGAAGGAAACAAGUAUUAUGAAAAUAUGAAAAGAAACUGUCAAUGUAGGAUGAAAAAACAUAAUUUCAGGGGCUACUUAGUGAGUUGUCUGACACAUGGUAUGGUAACAAGAUUGGGAGAAACGACUGGUAACAUGAAAUGACCUGGGCUGAUAGCAUUGCAAAAAACAAAGAGAAGGGAGAGAUGUGGCAACUAUUAAGCCUCUACUGGUUAAGACCUUUGUAGUUGGAGCAUAGGAAAUAGGCAAUAAGUUGUUGCAAACAAUAGGAAUGAGAAUGUAGGUGCUUAUCUUCUACAAAUAGACUUUACCCAUUAUCUCUUGGGUCUUACUCCUUCUAUUAGAAGAGAUUAUCUUGGUGGAACUUACCUGAUAAGAUUGGUGUAUGAACAGCUGUAAAAACUGAAUGAUUACUGAGUAACUUUUCUUCCCUGAUUGACAGGCCAUUAUUUCUAAGCUAAUUUGCCCUGAUCUGUUGUUUUGAACUUGUACCUCGAUGCAGAAAUGUCUCAGUACUGAGACAGUGUGAAAUCUUGCUUCAUCAACAAGCGGUGUAGAAAGUUUUGUUCAACCUUUGAAAAUCAAUAAACUCAAAACAAGCAAAAAACCAAC